UAGCAGCUUAGCCUUUUCCUAGGCGGAGUAGGCAGUGUGCUCUCCAGAGCGGGGGAUGAAAUCUCAACAUCUCCGUCAUCUUUUUAUCUCCAGCGCCCUGCGGAGCAUCUUACAAAAAAUAAAUGUUCAAUACACCGCUGCUGAUUGAACGGGUGCCUGAGCUGGUAAGAACGAAGCCCAUAAAAAGUGAGUUGGGUCAAUUCUGAAGAGCCUGAGAUGUCGUAGUUAAGAAUUCGGACUUUCCGCUGCCCACAUUGAGGUUCCGUGGAAAGUUUUAAAGUAGGGAAGAACUUUGCGUUCUCAGGCUUCUCGGCAUCGUGUUCGCUGGCGGCACCUACCGGCCAAUCGACACACUGCAGCCUCUCUCCGGCUAUUGCUCCUCGGACAAGAGAUGAAGGAAGCAGUUGUUACCUAUUGAGCUGGAAUUCUGGACGAGAUCACCUGAUGCCUGAGUUUCUGGGGCUGCUUCCCCCUCUCCAGACGCGGAUACUGAGACUCAAGAGGCCACCCCAGUGUGGACCGCUGGUGCACGACAGAAUCGGGAUUCUGACCAGAGCUGUCUGGUCCCAGAGCCUGUGCUUGUGACUGUGAUGUGAUGCAGGAGAGUGGACUAUACCAGCGUGUAGACUGCCUGGAACAAAUAGAAACCCAGCUGAGUUCCUGCAAUUUACAUAGGUGAAUCUAGAAAUGGAAUUGCCUAAGGAUUUGGCAGAAGGUGAAAAAGAAGAGCUAAAGAGGAGCAUAGAAGGAGACACUUGGCCUUUGUGUCCAGAGAAGAAAGAGAAUGCCUUUGGGGAGGUUGCGAUCACCAGACGGCUGGCCCUCAGCAACACUGAAGCCCAGAAGUCGGAUUGCCCAGCGGCUUAUGGGGAGUGACCCCUUUGUUUCUCUGAAGCCGUCUCCUCCUAAUCCCCUUAGCUCUAUAAAAGCCCGCUGCUUUCUGUUCUUGGGGAGACAGACUCCAGCAAACCCAGGCUCCCAUCCACUCAUUUUGGCCAAUUUAAUUAAAUCUUUCUCCAUCUCCAAGCACCGGUGUCUCAGUGUUUGGCUUGCUGUGCAUCGGGCACACAAGCUUGAGAUUAAGAGGUUCAGUAUCGAUCAUUCUGUUUAAUUGCCUGAAACACAAGGCUCAAAUGAUCCUGAGAAGAAGACUGGCUCGCACACAGCCUAGUAGAGCUCAGUGCUGGACCGCUGUGAAAAAUUCCAAUCCAAUGGUGGCUUGUUUAUUUUAAAUUAUUCAAAAUCAUUUUAAAGCCUUAAAAAUGGAAGUAGUUGCAACUUCAUGUGGUGAAAUAACAUGGGUAUUUGAGAAGAGAAAUGUGAUAUUGUUUAUAAUGAUAAUAAUAUCGGCCACCACGUACUAGCCCUUACUGUGUUCCAGGUUUUCUACUAACUGCUCUGUAUACCUGCUCUUCAACCCAAAUAGUUCUCAGGGUUAGCACAGUGCUUCUCAUUUUCUGCUUGCUGUCUUCAUUUCUACUUUGUUAAUCUUAAUGCAUACACACUCUUUAUCUUAACACACUUCAAAUUUCUUUUGAAACGAGGCAGCAUUCUGAUCAAUGAAAAUAUUUUGGAGUGAUUUUCUAAAGAGUGAUCGUAAAGGCUUUAGUUUAUCUUAAAUUCUAGAGAAUGGAUGGUUUACCCAGAAGGAAGACAACAGCCGUUCCUGUUAAAUUAUUCUGCUAAUGUUUACUUUGGAAAACGGUGGUAUUUUAUGCAAACAAAAUUGGAAAGCCUCCAUUUGGGCUCUGCAGGGACAAAGGCCUUUCCUGUGACUAAGGAUUGUCUGGUGGGGCUUCUGGAGGAAGGCUUCGUCAAUUCCACACCUGCCCGUGGAUCACACGGGGCAUGUGGGGUGGGUUCUAGAAUGAAGUCUGACUCACUCUUUUUCAAUAUAAAUAAUGUGUAUUCAUAUACAUGUAAUUGUUGUACUUUAUGAACAAUUUAUAUAUGUGUGUGCAUAUAAAUAUACUAUGUAUGCGAUCAUUUCUUUAAGCUAUUUCUCCCUAAUUAGCCCU
ensembl:lncRNA